UGGAGACUGAAUUGGCACCUCAUGGUGAUGGUGUGAGUGGUGUCCCUCAUCCAGGGCAUCCCAAUGUGCAGGAUCCCUGCCACAGUGCCAGCCCAGGUACUGCCCUCACCAUGAGGGCAACGUGUCCCAUCCAGAGGCAACAUAAUCCAGGUCUGAAGAGGGGUGUCUCCUUCCCACUGGCUAUCAAAGAAGCAGGGUGGCCUGCUCAGCUCUAGCUAAUUGUUAAGUAUCUACAACUAAAAGCUGUAUAUCCCACUCAGGGUUAAAUUAAGGUUUGCAAAGUGCCCAGGAGGGAAAGGCGUCCUGUGGAUGCACAAUGUCACCGCUUCUGGAGGUGUCCUCAUCUGCCUGCACAGGUGUGGGACACUGAAGCGCAUUUGCAUGAACUGGCGCUGUUUGAGGAGCGCAGUGAUUUCUCUCUUUCCAUAUUUUUUUCACCCAAUUCUGUUGCAUGAAGGCAAGGAUUCGCAGGUCUUGCAGCAUGUUCUGAAACACAGGUUGAGAGCAUCCUCCUCCAGAUGCUUGCAGAAGGACAUUUGGGUGUUGCAGGAGGCAGACCAAGCAGCCUUUACCUGCUCUUCUUGCACCUUCUCCCCGUUUCACCCCUAGUGGGUUGGGGGCAGAGCUGAUGGAAUUGCUUUUGCUGAUGCUCAGGGGACAUUUCACUAUCCAACCCCAUCCACAUUCCCACUGUGUGUCUCUGGGAGCACCUGAAAUCCGGCACUGGCCAGAGGCCCAUAUGUGGAGGUGAGCUCAGCCCUCCAGCCUCACUGGAGGCUCCCUCUGGGUGUCCUCCUUGCCUUGGCCUAUCUCAGUCCUUUUCUCAGCUUUAUUUCCUGUGACAAAUUUGCCGUGCCGGGUCUACGGAAAGCAUCUGGAUGGGAUUCAUGCCUGCAGUGUUUUCCUCCUUCUUUAUCCUCCUCAGCAGGCUUGGAGCUAUUCAAAUCUCCCUUUCUUUUUCUUUUCUUCUUUUCAGUGCAGCUUCCUACAAUUUCAGCUUCUUGGCUGACUCGGGGCUUGAAAUCUUCCCUGGCGCUUGCUCCUACAGUAACCCUUUGAGAUGUGUUAUGAAGAGCACAGUGGAAAGCUGCUUCCAUCACUCCCAGAUGACCUCCUUAACCAGCUGGAGGUGGCAGCGGCAUUGGCUGCUUCAAUGACACAUUGAAGCAGACAGAGACACAUGAGGGAAGAGCACCAGGGCACCGUGCCUCCAGUGUCUAUGCAGCUCUUCACCCUCCCAUGGGCUUUUCCAGAAAAAAGAGGUUGUGAUCCCUGUGUCAGAGCCAUCAGGACAUGGGGUCUGCCUCCCCCCCCAGCCCUCCUCGUGUUUUUGGGUUUGUCAUGAAGUUACCAACAUCUGCUCUGUGUGAUGGUACACCUCCAAAGCCACUGGUAAAGAAACCAGACUGAUGCCCCACCUGCACAUCAUUCCCUUUCAAUGUCCCACUGUCUCCCUUCUUUUUUCUUUGGGUUUUUUUCUCUAAUAUUACAGGCAACACCCAGCAAAGCCACAUAUAAGGAAUGCUGUGGUGAAAAGUUUUCAGGGCACACAGCAGACUGUGCUGGCUCCAUCCUGCAGACGGGAGGAUUGCAGGAUCAAGCCCUGCAAACACAUUUCUGGCCAUGUUGCAUCUUUUGGGGACUCACCACAGCCUGACCCAGGAGGGCCUGCAGUUGGCUGCCCUCCCAUGCGAGAGCUGCCUGUGCAGCUGGGAGCCCAGUAUGAUGCCCCACCACCAGCAGCUGCCAGCUCAUGGAUACAGGUACGCACAAGCUCAGCUGUUGCUCUAUCAGCAGUGAUGGUUUCAUGUUAUUAGAUAACAGUUAAAAUAGGGCAGGAUGUGUUAUGGAAAGGGAAUGGGAACCCUCACUGUGCUUUUACCAACCCACCCAACUUCAAGGAGCUGCAACAGAGAAGGACAUUUUUGCUUUUAACCAUAUUUUAACCAUAUUGGUAAGCUGGCCCAGAGCUGCUCUGCUGAUUUCCCUCCGCUCUCGCCAGGGUGUAUUUGUGUGAUAACUGUGUGUUUGUUUCUGGAUGCCUUAUGCUGUGUGUGUACUAUCAUACAGUUCUGUUCGAUGCUGGAACUUUACAAAAUGUGAUUAUUAUUACAAACUAAUGCUUACGCACAACAGUGUGACGUUGGCUCCUGCAUCCCAAAUAGCCGGUGCCUGGUGGCUUGAGUCACACGAGGUGCGCAGCAGCUGAUUCCUGGAACAGAUCCCAGAUACCACAGGUAACCAUCUCAAGCUUAUGCUGCAGACCAGGCAGUUCUUUUGAGUUUUGUUUUUAUUUAAGUGUAUUCACCAAAAAUACACUCUUGCUCAUAUGAAUGUUUUUGGGCAUUAAACAAGCCAAUGGCAACAGCGCCAGAACUGUCUUUGUUGGACUGGUCAACCUCAUCCCUCUUUUUCAACAUCACGUGUUCCCAGUUCACAACCGUGCCAGCUCCAUGCUCCCAUCCCAGCAGCAGCAUGCGGGUCAGGCCCAGCAUCCAGCAAACCCAGCCUGGUCAAAAGCCAAUGGCAAAGGAAAGCUUCCCACCAAAACCAAGUCACUCUCCAGGGAUGCUCCUUCCUACUUCUCCUUCACUUUGUGUUUUGUCUUCUUUUUUUUUUUUUCUUCUCCUAUCAUUUCAUGGCAUUUCAUUAGUGCUGCAUAUUAUAUAAGAACAUCUUAGUACUUUUUAUUCUGUUUCAUUUUAAAACUAUUAAAACCAUCUGCCACUUUGUAAACACUAGCAUAUUUUCUUUUCUAGAUCAAAGUGUCUCCUGUCUGUGUUGUAAUGGAAGUUUGACAUUAUUUUUUUUACAAGACAGGCAGGAGACACUUUGAUCAGGUGCCAAACUCUCUCCCUACAACAAACAGGCAAGACUCUGAGCUAGAAAUGAUAAGAUGUUGUUAUGCGCCGUGAUGAUUUCAUGACAUGUCAGCCAUAAUGUUAAAAAAACCUCUACAGAACAUAUAACAUUAGAAAUAUCAGUGUGAAAUUCCAGAUUUUUUUAAAAACUGAACAAUUUAUGAAUUGAAAGCACUCCUUUCUUGGUUUUCCUCAACAGAACUGUGACCUUUUGUGGAAUUUUUUUACUAUUUUUUGUAAAGCUUUUCAUUUCAAUGAAUCAGUAUCUUGUCAAAAAUGCUCCAUUGAAACAAUUCUGGUGGACUCGACUUUUAGAAAGCUUUUCUUGAAUGCCUUUUUAUAUACAAAAGAUGAUUGUCACUGUCAGAGAACAAAAGAAUCACCUGCUAUCUUUUCUGUCAUUCCUAAAUAAAUAAAUUGUUUGAGUAUUAUUUCAUCCAUAUUUCUCAAAUAUGCCGCUCCCCACCGCUCCCACCAGUCCUCCAUACACAUUUGCCUUUUAUCCUGGGAUGCAGGAUGCCUCCACAGAGAGCUCACAGCCUUCCAAUAACACAAAUACUACAGCUACAGCUAGGGAAAAACAAAACAACCGUGCACUUUGUCACUUUUAUCUUAAUUUGCGCGAUGAGAAGGGCUCUUCCACAGUCAUCUCUGCUAAGUGCCUGGGCACCAAAGAGGGGCUGGACAUGAGUGUGCAGCCUGUGAACAUGGGAGCUGCAGGUGGAGCUGAUGAAGACAACCAGCCCCUCUUCCUCCCCCUAAAAGUGGGUCUACUGCUUUGUCAAGAAAAGCUUUCCAUGUGGAGAAAGUGUUAGCUGUCUCCAAUAGGCACAGCAGCUGGAGCGGGUGUCUACAGACCAGAAUAACUGGUAGCAGAAGAGCAGCAGCAUGGGAGCCUGCCUCACCACUGUGGAAAGAUGGGCACUCUUCAUUUGAAACCUGCAAUUUAUCUCACCCUGAAAGAGGUGAGAAACUUCAGGGGCCCAAAACUGCUUCUCUGCAACAAUUACAAAUGAAUCAAGCAUGACUCUGUUGUAGAAAGCAGACAAAAGUUGAAGCAAAGAAAGGUAUGAUUGGGUAUUGGGGGAAAAAAAACAUUGCAAAAACUGGAAGAGGUUGCCCAGAAGGGCUGUGGGAUUUUAAUCCUUGGAGGUUUCCAAAACUCAGUUGGACACAGCCCUGAGUGACCUGCUUUAAUGCCAAAAUUAGCCCUGCUUUGAGUGAGGAGUUGGAUCAGAUGGCUUCCACAGGUCCCUUACACGUUCAGUCGUUCUACAUCCAUAUUACAACAUCCCUAAAAUUAUGUGGGAUGAAUCCCAGCUCAGGAGAUAAUGAGUCUCAGGUUUGUCUGAAGCUAGUCUUGUGUCCUUGCCUGCAGCCCAAUGCAGAGAAAGCAUUUGCUGUGCUGAUGGUGGUGCAGAUCAUCAUCUCCCAUGCAGGGCAUGUACCAUUGGAGCCACAGCACUCAACACUUCCAAGAGAAAGCCCUUGGAUCCAGGUAACUUCGUUUCAAAACAUGCCCUUGACCUGGUCCGGGGCUGAAGGACUGUACCUCGCCACCCAAGGUCGCGAGGAGAGCCCAGGCAGCACCAGUCUGCCGGCGUUCCGGCACAGGGAGUUGUUUGGAGCAGUGGAGCCACAUGCUGCUGCAAUAUCAACACACAGAGCACGUCUGAGCACAGCCCAGGCCAUCGCACACCAGGGUUUUGUGUCAGUAUGCACAGCACAAACAGACACCACCUCACAGUUAGGUCUGCUUGCCUCCCCUGGUGCCUCGGGUCGGCGGGUGCCCCUGUCCUCAGAAUGACUUGCCAGAGCAAAGGCUGCUCAAGAAACAAUUGAGCCUUAACUCAUCUUCUCCCCUUUUAAACACAGGUUGUUUAGAAACAAAAGCCGUAGGAUUGCGUACAUUUGUCAUUUCAACCCAGCGGUAAGUAUUUUAACAUGCAAUGAAUCGUUAUUGAGAGAAAAGGUCAGAAAUGCAGAGCCUGGGAGGCUAGAAGUGUGGGUUGGGCAUUGCAAACCAACCAACAGGAAUACAAGCCAAGUGUUUUAUUCACUAGGUCUCCCCAGACUUCACAGCUUUCGUGCUUUCCUUCCUGAAAGACUGCAUUCAGGGUGUUGCCAGUACGAGACAAAGUUGGAUUAUCCUGGAAAGUGAGAAUUUGGGAGUUUCUUCCCUAUAAGAAGAGAACCUGUUUUCCACAGGAAACUGAUGUAUGUGAGUUUUCAUACGCGGCAUCUCAGAAGGGUGGAUGUGCUUCCCUUAGCUGGGUUGGCCGCAGCCCUGCCAGGAUGACAUCCUCGUCGUGAAAAAAGAAAGCAAAACUGCACAGAAACCAAAGUGAGCCAUUUAAU